ensembl:lncRNA
CACCAAAUCUGUGGUUGUCCAACAGAGGCACUGAGGCUCAAACCAGGAAAAGCUGUGGCUGUGAUCACAAUGAAUGGGAGACAUGAGCUCAGCAUGCCUGAGUUGGCAUGUGAAGCGUGCAAAGCCACAUGGACUGCUGGUGUUGACGGCAUUCUUCACAGCGACUACUGGCCAGCUACCCUGAACUUUGCCACCAUUUAUGGAACUGAUGUUUUUGCUUCAUUUGAAGAAAUGAAAAUGGCAGCACCUGGAUUGUCCUGUCAGGCAUUUUUAAAAAUGUUGGAUCAGAGAACUGUCCGCUUUGGCCGUGUGAGUAUUGAAGUUAUCUGUCCUUUUUUUAUAUAUUUGUAUGCUGCUUAAAAAUCUCAUUAGCUCUUGAUGUCUUUUUUUUUUUUGAGACAGACUGGGAAGAUCUCAGCUGACACCUUCGCCAAAAGCUUUUUUGAGUGGGAGGCUGUACAAUAUGAGAUGGACAACAUAUGCAAGGAGGAGCCAUUCACCUGUCCUGCCUGCAGCCCGGAUAUGCUUGCGGUUUCCGUGGAUGGUAACCGCAAGCAUUACCGCUUCAAGAAUGCAUCUAGGUACUAUAAAUUAUUUAUAAUGUCAGUGUUUGAACUAAUGACAAAAGUUCAGUCUCCUAAUAUGCACCAAUUAACCUGUUUUAUUUAGUGCUGAGGAACAGGCCAUAUUUGAUGGCGUCUUCAUCGCGAAGGAUGACGACGUCGCAAAAUUUGUGAACUACAUUCACACCACAACCAAGCAUGUAAUAUUGCAGACUAUAAUUAUAUAAACAUGAGUACAAUAAUCUCCUAUUCAAGAUUUUUUUUUAGGUAACCCUUUUGACCAUUUUAAAUGUUUAUAUUGUAGGUGCCCGGAAGAGGCGUUUGUGGGGGGGAAUGGUCGGCGGCUCGAGAGACCUCCAAAAAAUCUGUCAGCAAGCUGGAUGAAGAGGGACUGGAGCUUGCCGUGUGUCGGCAUGGGCUGCUCCUAUGUGCCCUCAAUAUGUUCAGGGGAGAGAUCUUUGCAUAUCCCCUGUACAUACAACGAAAGAUGGCCAACCUCACGCCAACCUUUUAUUGCAUGGAUGUCACAUGUAAAUACUGGCCCUACCUCAACAAGGUUGCCAGAAGCUGCCCAGAGCUCCAGCAUCUGCUCAGCAUGAAGCCCUUCCUUUCAGUGUUCCAUGCCAAAGCCCACGAUUACAAAUGUGACGUAAGCAAUCAUUACCAAGUGAAUCACUUUAUGUGAAUAUCCACACUUUCACGUCAAUAUUGACAUGUCAUAACAUGCUUUGUUUUUUAUGCAUUUUAAACAGGUCAAAUGGAGUGGUGCCUAUCAAGAGGGGGCUGGAUUGACACUAGGGGAGGAGGUAGAGCAGGUCAAUGCCUUCCUCUCUCGGAUAGCAGUGACCACCAAACACAUGUCCAAAGCAGGUGAAUGGCUAUAAAGUAUGAACAUGGGUACAAGAAAUAAGCUGAAGUUAACACUAGAUAACACCAUCAUUUUAUGCUGCAGGACGCACAGACAUGCUCACCCUCUUGGCCAUGCGCUGGAAUCAGCAAAAGACUGACAACUUGGCCACCUCACUGUCCCGCAGAUAUCUGAGGGUAUUAACAUCUUUUUUUUUAAAGUUUUGUUAGCAGAUAUUGAGGCUGUACACUGAAUUUACUUAAUUAUUUUUAUUUACUCUAAUUAUUUUGUCAUUUGUAGACCACAAAAGCUCUGGAUGCCCAAAAGCGGAACAUGGAGUCCAUGAAGACCGAAUUGGACGUCACAGAGAACCAGAUGGAGGACUGGGUCAGUGACGUGAAGGAUUGGGCAGACGGUGAGGAAAUUAUAAGUUUUGUAAGC